rnacentral:sRNA from 1 species
UACAUAAACUUACUUUUGGUUCAAUUUGCAAGGAUAGUUUUGUAUUUUCUUAUGCCGUCAUAUAGUUAUUUAUCCAUAGAAAAACUGACAAUAGUUAGUUACUUGAUUCUUUUUAAUUUUACAGUUAGUUUCUAAUAUUACCCUUUAAAUUUUUAUUUGUUUAUUAUGGUUUGCUAUUAUAGA